rnacentral:rRNA from 1 species
GACGAACGCUGGCGGCGUGCUUAACACAUGCAAGUCGAGCGGAGCGGCGAACGGGUGAGUAACACGUGGGUGACCUGCCCUCCACCCUGGGAUAAGCGCGGGAAACUGGGUCUAAUACCGGAUAGUGGGGGAUGGGCCCGCGGCCUAUCAGCUUGUUGGUGGGGUGAUGGCCUACCAAGGCGGUGACGGGUAGCCGGCCUGAGAGGGCGACCGGCCACACUGGGACUGAGGGACGGACCAGACUCGUACGGGGGGCAGCAGUGGGGAAGAUUGCGCAAUGCGCGGAAGCCUGACGAAGCGACGCCGCGUGGGGAAUGACGGCCUUCGGGUUGUAAACCUCUUUCGCCUGGGACGCGGUACCUGGAGAAGAAGCACCGGCCAACUACGUGCCAGCAGCCGCGGUAAUUC